rnacentral:rRNA from 1 species
AGCAGCCGCGGUAAUUCCAGCUCCAAUAGCGUAUAUUAAAGUUGUUGCAGUUAAAAAGCUCGUAGUUGAAUUUCGGGAUCAAUUUGCUGGUCGUGCCUCUGGUACGUACUGGUAUUAUUGGUUUCUCCCUUCUGACGAACCAUGAUGUCAUUAAUUUGAUGUCGUGGAGAAUCAGGACUGUUACUUUGAAAAAAUUAGAGUGUUUAAAGCAGGCAUUAGCUUGAAUACAUUAGCAUGGAAUAAUGAAAUAGGACGUUUGAUCCUAUUUUGUUGGUUUCUAGGAUUGACGUAAUGAUUAAUAGGGAUAGUUGGGGGCAUUAGUAUUCAAUUGUCAGAGGUGAAAUUCUUGGAUUUAUUGAAGACUAACUACUGCGAAAGCAUUUGCCAAGGAUGUUUUCAUUAAUCAAGAACGAAAGUUAGGGGAUCGAAGACGAUCAGAUACCGUCGUAGUCUUAACCAUAAACUAUGCCGACUAGGGAUCGGAUGAUGUUAAUUUUUAAUGA